rnacentral:rRNA from 1 species
GAUGAACGCUAGCGGGAGGCCUAACACAUGCAAGCCGAGCGGUAUUGUUUCUUCGGAAAUGAGAGAGCGGCGUACGGGUGCGGAACACGUGUGCAACCUGCCUUUAUCUGGGGGAUAGCCUUUCGAAAGGAAGAUUAAUACUCCAUAACAUAUUGAUUGGCAUCGUUUAAUAUUGAAAGCUCCGGCGGAUAGAGAUGGGCACGCGCAAGAUUAGCUAGUUGGUGAGGUAACGGCUCACCAAGGCGAUGAUCUUUAGGGGGCCUGAGAGGGUGAUCCCCCACACUGGUACUGAGACACGGACCAGACUCCUACGGGAGGCAGCAGUGAGGAAUAUUGGUCAAUGGGUGCAAGCCUGAACCAGCCAUCCCGCGUGAAGGACGACUGCCCUAUGGGUUGUAAACUUCUUUUGUAUAGGGAUAAACCUACCCUCGUGAGGGUAGCUGAAGGUACUAUACGAAUAAGCACCGGCUAACUCCGUGCCAGCAGCCGCCGUAAAAC